GAUGAAGAACGUAGCGAAAUGCGAUAAGUAAUGUGAAUUGCAGAAUUCAGUGAAUCAUCGAAUCUUUGAACGCACAUUGCGCCCGCCAGUAUUCUGGCGGGCAUGCCUGUUCGAGCGUCAUUUCAACCAUCAAGCCCUGCUUGCGUUGGGGUCCUGCGGCUGCCCGCAGGCCCUGAAAACCAGUGGCGGGCUCGCUAGUCACACCGAGCGCAGUAACACAUCUCGCUUUGGGCGUGCGGCGGGUUCUUGCCGUUAAACACCCCCUUUUUACCAAGGUUGACCUCGGAUCAGGUAGGAAUACCCGCUGAACUUAAGCAUAUCAAUAAGCGGAGGA
rnacentral:misc_RNA from 1 species